rnacentral:rRNA from 1 species
GUCCACGCCCUAAACGAUGCACAUUUGGUGUAGGUCAUUCAGUUGAUCUGUGCCGGAGCUAACGCGUUAAAUGUGCCGCCUGGGGAGUACAGUCGCAAGGCUGAAACUCAAAGGAAUUGACGGGGCCGGCACAAGCGGUGGAGCAUGUGGUUCAAUUCGACGCAACGCGAAGAACCUUACCUGGGCGUCGAACGGCUGGUCAACGACUGUGGAAACAUGGUUACUCCGCAAGGGGGUCCGAGUCGAGGUGCUGCAUGGCUGUCGU